GAGAGAGAGAGAGAGAGAGAAGAGAGAGAAAGAGAAAAUGAAGCCUAAGGUUAGAGGGCACAAUAAGAAUCCAGCCCUUAGGGUUUAGCUGUGGCCUCAGCUUAAAAAGGAGGCCAUAACCUAAGCCUGGACUCUAGUGGUGGCCUUCGUAAUCUGGUGCUGCGCCUCGGCUGAGGAGCUCUUCUUUGAUUUCGUCCCUAAUUCGCUGUAAAACUUUGGAUUUUGAGCUCGCCGUCAUCGUUAUCGUCCUUGGUUCGUUCUCCAAUUGCUGGAAAGACGUGAGGUCAAACAUCAUGCCGUGGGUGUCGUCCCUCCCGAUUCAUUACGACGGCAAUAAGAAGCGUGCUUGCCUAGUUGUCUUUUCCCGUGCUAUUGUGUAACACGAACUGAAGCCAAUUGUUUGGUUUAAUGACUCAAUUAUAUUGGAUUUGAAGUGGUGAUAAUGUACAUUGAGCUCGACUUAAAGAGAUACUGCACUGUGGAGGAAGUUGGGGAAAUCAUAAUGAACGUUAGAAUCAUUGCUUUCUAUCAAUUGAUGCAAUUUUGUCAGGCUGAGUACUUCCGCCAGUUGCUUAAGCCUGUAACGUAGUUUCAAAGUAAGCUGGGCUAUAAUAUCCUCUUUAGUCAUCGAUCUGCCAUAAGAAUAAUGAUAGAUGCAAGAUUGGGAAGAUAAUACAUUGGUGACAUAUAAUUUGCUACCACACAAUCUUUUCUAAAGUGAUAAUCUGGUAAGAUAUUCGGAAGCACAUAGUAACUUUUGGAGACACAAAAGGUGUCAACUAGCUUAGUUGAUAAAUACUUUGAUAGUCUAUCGCAAGGUCUUGAGACUGAAUCCUGUCUUGGUCACUUACUCAAAAAAAGAAAAAAAGAAAAUUGGAGACACAUUUGAAAGCCAUAUACUUCUGCCUGCUGAAGACCAUCCAACCAUCCCCAUUUCGGCAGCAAAGGAUCCAAUAAUCUUUUGUCUCCAUGCACGGAGACCCAAGAUAUUUUGCUGGAAAUGUACCACCCGCUCAUCCAUAUGAAGUGGGUGGCUACACCUAUAACAUCUAUACCAAUGGUGUUCCUACCCUUACCUUUGGUGCUGCUCAACCUGGGAGAAAAUAUGAAAUUCCUGGUACAUUUAGUAGAUUCAAGCACCAACUCUCUGAAACCUGCCCCAAGAACUUCAUUUUUAAUCAGAUGGACAACACAAAUCGGGUCAUGUCCCGCCCUGCUCUGGUUCACGAGUUUGGUUCCUCAAACUUCGAUGUUGGUGCUGCAUGUGUUGAAGAAUAUGGCAAAAUCAUUGGCAGAAAUACUGAUAUUAAAGAAGAAUGUUCAUCAUCUUUCAAAGAAGACACUGAAGAUAUUAAUGCACUGCUUAGUUCAGAAGAAGAAAAUGAUGAAGAUGACGAUGUAAUCAGCACCGGUAGGACUCCUGUCUACAACCAGGAUGACAAUUUCCCAGACUCACCACGCUUCAUGGAAGAUCUGGGAUGUCACACAUUGGGAAAUGCUUCCAGUCACAAGUCAACUUUGAACAGUGCCGAUAGAAAGAGGGAUAGGAUGAAAAAGAUGGUCGAAGCUCUCAGGGGCAUUAUACCUGGAGGAGAUCAGAUGGACACGACGGUCGUCCUUGAUGAAGCUGUUAGAUAUUUGAAAUCCCUCAAGUCAGAAGUUGAGAAACUCGGAAUACAGGACCUUGAUGACUAAAUUCAUCGGAAUUCUGAUUAUCCCAGUUCCAUUGCUAGAGAAUAAAAGAAGAUGCAUCGUAUUGGAGUUCCAUAUAACAAAGUAGCCAUAUUACUAUUCUCUCUCUGCAAUGCCUAUCCAAGGAAAGGACCAUCUUUUUUUUACUGUGUUGGUGGGCCUUUGUUGUUGCCCAUGAUGUUAUGAUUCUGAAGUGUGAGGUUUGUGUUCUCAGAGGUGUCUUUGUGUCUCCCUCCUUUAAUAUGUCUUUAUGUUCUUAGGAUGUUGUCUGAUGUUAUCAUGUUGGCAAGUACUUUCUGAUGUCUGGUCAUAGCACUCCCUAUAUUUAUAGCUCCACUUCAUUUUAAGUGGGCAUCCUUUUCAUUCA